AUGGAACAUUUCAUCCUACCAGAUCAUUUCACUAAAGCAGAUGUGGACAAAGUCAAGGCCGCUGCUCUUAAGAAGAUGGCAAUUGCAUUCAACACCCACAAGAAAACUGUAUGGGCCAACUACAUCGCUAAUGAAAGGAAGACUCCAGAUUUCAAGGGAACACUGGAGAAGCAAAGAGAACAUUGGGACGAUUUCGUGACCUUCAAGGAUUCAGAAAUAUCUAAGGAACGGUCGACGAAAAACAAGGCAAAUGCCGCAAGAAAGACGCAGUUCCAUAGGCUGGGUCCAAGUGGCUACGCGGUGGCAUUGCCUAAGUGGGAUAAGUCUGAGCAAGAGAUGGAGGAUGCAGGGGUCACUCCGGUUACCCGGCACUGGCCCCCCAGGUGCGGAACUUGGUUCUAUGCGCAUGGGGGGGCGUUGGACCCGAAGACAGGCAUGGUUUCGAAGAAGGCAAGUCUAAAAGGAGCCGAACAAAAGAAAAUUGACGCAAUAGAAGAAGCUCGAGCGGGGGUGUUCACGCCCAACAGAGAGAACGACGAGCUUACGCGCGCCCUGGGAAAUCCUGAACACCCGGGAAGAACACGAGGCAAGGGUGUUAUUCCCUGGUAUGAGGGCUUUUCGGACUGA
rnacentral:rRNA from 1 species